rnacentral:tRNA from 1 species
GCACAAUUAGCUCAGUGGUUAGAGCACCCUUCUGAAUUUUGGGGAAAAGAAGUCAUGGGUUUGAGUCCCAUAGUGCA